rnacentral:rRNA from 1 species
CUUUCCACGGUUUCUGUGUCGUAGCUAACGCAUUAAGCGCCCCGCCUGGGGAGUACGGCCGCAAGGCUAAAACUCAAAGGAAUUGACGGGGGCCCGCACAAGCGGCGGAGCAUGCGGAUUAAUUCGAUGCAACGCGAAGAACCUUACCAAGGCUUGACAUACACCGGAAACGGCCAGAGAUGGUCGCCCCCUUGUGGUCGGUGUACAGGUGGUGCAUGGUUGUCGUCAGCUCGUGUCGUGAGAUGUUGGGUUAAGUCCCGCAACGAGCGCAACCCUCGUUCUAUGUUGCCAGCGCGUUAUGGCGGGGACUCAUAGGAGACUGCCGGGGUCAACUCGGAGGAAGGUGGGGAUGACGUCAAAUCAUCAUGCCCCUUAUGUCUUGGGCUUCACGCAUGCUACAAUGGCCGGUACAAAGGGCUGCGAUACCGUAAGGUGGAGCGAAUCCCAAAAAGCCGGUCUCAGUUCGGAUUGAGGUCUGCAACUCGACCUCAUGAAGUCGGAGUCGCUAGUAAUCGCAGAUCAGCAACGCUGCGGUGAAUACGUUCCCGGGCCUUGUACACACCGCCCGUCAAGUCAUGAAAGUCGGUAACACCCGAAGCCGGUGGCCUAACCCUUGUGGAAGGAGCCGUCGAAGGUGGGAUCGGUGAUUAGGACUAAGUCGUAACAAGGUAGCCGUACCGGAAGGUGCGGCUG